UACAAAUACUUCAAAUAUUAACUCCAUUAAAUUCAGCUGAGAAAAUCCAGAUCCAGGAAUGUUAAGAUACCCUUGCAAGGAUACAAGAAUAAUCGGCAGGCAAAUCAGGGCUCAGCUGUGAAGGAAGGUCCUAGAAGAGGGUUAACCAGGCAGAAGGAAAGGAAGCAGGCCUGGAGUGCUGAGGCCUUGGCAGGGGGCUUGUUUCUAGCAGAUCUAAGCCCAGCUGGAGAAGUCACUAUGAUGCAUGUGCCAUGAAUGGAAUAGAAGAGCUGUUGAAUGCUUAACCCUUAGUGCUAUCCCCCUGGAAUAGCUGCUUCAACUAUUUUCACUCUCACUGUCACCAUUGUAUGGAAAAGCAGUGCCUUUCAUCACCACCACCAUCAAUGCCUCCAUCGUCAUUGCCAGGAAGAUUAUUCAUUCAGCAAACUUUGUGUCUAAUAUGUCAGUCAAUCAAUAAACAAUUAUUAAUCACCUAC